AGUGAACGCUGGCGGUAGGCCUAACACAUGCAAGUCGAACGGCAGCACAGAAGAGCUUGCUCUUACGGGUGGCGAGUGGCGGACGGGUGAGGAAUACAUCGGAAUCUACUUUUUCGUGGGGGAUAACGUAGGGAAACUUACGCUAAUACCGCAUACGACCUACGGGUGAAAGCAGGGGAUCUUCGGACCUUGCGCGAUUGAAUGAGCCGAUGUCGGAUUAGCUAGUUGGCGGGGUAAAGGCCCACCAAGGCGACGAUCCGUAGCUGGUCUGAGAGGAUGAUCAGCCACACUGGAACUGAGACACGGUCCAGACUCCUACGGGAGGCAGCAGUGGGGAAUAUUGGACAAAGGGCGCAAGCCUGAUCCAGCCAUACCGCGUGGGUGAAGAAGGCCUUCGGGUUGUAAAGCCCUUUUGUUGGGAAAGAAAAGCAGCAGGUUAAUACCCCGCUGUUCUGACGGUACCCAAAGAAUAAGCACCGGCUAACUUCGUG
rnacentral:rRNA from 1 species